rnacentral:misc_RNA from 1 species
GAUGAAGAACGUAGCGAAAUGCGAUAAGUAAUGUGAAUUGCAGAAUUCAGUGAAUCAUCGAAUCUUUGAACGCACAUUGCGCCCGCCAGUAUUCUGGCGGGCAUGCCUGUCUGAGCGUCAUUUCAACCCUCAUGCCCCUAGGGCGUGGUGUUGGGGAUCGGCCAAAGCCCGCGAGGGACGGCCGGCCCCUAAAUCUAGUGGCGGACCCGUCGUGGCCUCCUCUGCGAAGUAGUGAUAUUCCGCAUAGGAGAGCGACGAGCCCCUGCCGUUAAACCCCCAACUUUCCAAGGUUGACCUCAGAUCAGGUAGGAAUACCCGCUGAACUUAAGCAUAUCAAUAAGCGGAGGA